rnacentral:tRNA from 1 species
AUUUGUAUAAUAUAAUUCCAUUAUAUUUGGCUUCCAACCAAAAAAUCUUAAUCAAGUACAAUUA